GUGUGCUGUGUGUUGUCAGAUCGUCGUGUUGUGCUCGUUUAUGUCUUAGCUUUGCCACAUCUCAUGUUUUGCCUGCACAGAGAUCGUGCUAGUUUUGUUUUCAUCCUUUAGUUUUGUUUUUUCUCUCUUCCUCCUGCUUUCAGGCAGCGCUAAUUCUCCAACCCUUCCCUUGCUCGCGAUCACCGAUCGCUGUCAGUGCUCUUCUUCGCCUCGUCGCCGGUGCGCCACCAGUUCCCCACCUCAACAGCGCCCCCGCCUCUCUGUCAGUUUAUCUCGGCCUUGCUUUGGUGGAUUUUCCUAGUGGAAAUAUUCCAGGAGGCACUUCUUGAUCUGCUUCGGGCUGCCCUGUACCUGGAUAGUUUUUUGUUUAUUUUUUUUCCCCCUUUUUUGAAAUUCAAGCCUGUUAAAUAAACUGACCUUUUUGGGCACCUGCAACUGAGUCCAAGUCUCGUACUGACAUGUUGAGCUUAAAACCAAAGGUUUCUCAACUAGGACUUUGAAAACCAACAGUUCAAGGUAGCACAAAGAAAUAGAGUUGUGACGUUCGCGAACGAACCGAUUCUUUUGAACGGCUCAUAAACAAGAACGAUGGGACCCGAGUCGCGGCAAGAGGAGAGCCGUUCUUUCUGUCGUUCUUUUUUCCUAUGCGUGUUUCACACAGAUGCACACAAGCCAACCCUUUAUAGCGUGAUGAUAUUAGUUAUUAGUUGUGCACGCAUCCUUCACGUGAGUACUCCAGAAAAGAGAGGCAGAAAAAGCCAUAAAGUAAGGAACUGCUUUGUAUUUAUUUACAUUGCAUUUUGUGUUCAUUUAAAACUUGUUCUUUUAAAAACAUUAAAAAUGUUCUUUUGUGAUACUGUUCUUGUAUAGAAAUUUUUCACUAAAAGCUGUUUUGCACAGACAUUCAUUGCAGCCCACUUUGUUAUUGUUCAUUGACUUGAAGGGGCUGAUGUCCUAUUUGCAAAGUUUACAGUAGUAAUAGUAUGUAGUAUGUAGACAUUUCCAUUUUAUUUAUUCUAAUUUUAUCUACUUUAAAUAUUUUUUUUUCUAUCAAAAUGUUCUUGUGUGAUAACAAUGUUCUUGUGUUUUUGAUGUUUAUUUGUGAGUAGGUAUUGUAUGAAUAACAUAAGUCAACGUAGCUUUACACACACACACACACACACACACACACACUUUGUACUAAAGGUAAAUCCAAAAUAGUGAUGUCACUGUCUAAGCAGAGGGAUUUGUGCAACCCUAUGGAAUAUAGUCCACACAUGACAAAUGAGGUAAUAAUCAAUAUUUCAGAAUAAUUCAAACUCAGAUAUUGGUGUGUGAUAUCUGAGUUUUAAUUAUUUGACUACAAAUCUCACCUCAUCAUUCCUCCCAGUGAUUAUUUCCAGGAUAAACUGAGAUGCCCCCAAGCUGGCUUCUUAAAACUGACUAAAUAUUUAAAAAGAGCCAAAAGAGCCGUUCUUUUGAACGGCUCUUUGAAAGGAACGGAUCGCGAAGAUCCGGAUCCCCUCAAAGAGCCAUAAAUCCCAUCACUACAAAGAAACAUGCGUUCCCUCUACCCAAACUGAACUACUUCUUCUUCUUCUUCUUCUUCUUCUUCUUCUUCUCUUAGUUAAUGGCGGAUUGCAAACAACCUUUAGGUGGAUACCGCCACUUACUGUAACAGUGUGUAACAUCAUGUCAUUUUAAGUGUACUCAUAUUCUGCUUAUAAACCCUGUAUCAUUAAGGAAUUUAAAUAAUGCUUUCCUGGUUAUCCUCAUCCCCCUCCUUCUCCUUCUGUUCCUAGUAUCCCCAUCAGACUCUGCUCCCGCCCUGCCUCCUGAAACACCCGUCUUUCCACCUCAUAUAUUAUACAGUGUAAUAUGACAUGCUCAGCAUUUUCUUUAACUCCACAGUUGUUACAAUUCUCAUUAUUCCUUUUCCUCAUUAAAAACAAGGUGCUAUUCAGUCCUGUGUGAUCCACUCUUAGUCUUGUUAUUAAAAUUUCUUCCCGCCUAUUCCUUUCUCUAUAAUUUUAAUGCUAACAGACUUUUGUAUUUUAUAGUAUACCCUUCCUUUCUUGUCUUCCUCCCACUAUUUCUGCUACAUUUCAGUACCUUUCUUCAUAACUACUGCUUUUUCCUCACAUUUUCCAUGUGGUAUUGGAACUGAUAUUUCUUUUUGCAAUGCAUCUUUGAUAAUUUAUCUGCACUUUCAUUCCCUUUCACUCCCUCAUGUGCUGGCACCCAAGAAAACUGAACAUCUAUACCACCCCUAUGUAAUAACAAACUGUGAUAGAGUUCUAUCAUUAAAUCUUCUCUGACAGAUGUCAUUGACUGAAUGCUUUCAUGACAGCUAAGGAGUCUGUGCAUAAUAUCACUCUAUCAGGUCUGAUCUCUUCAGCCCACUGUAAUGCAGUGAUGACUGACACAUAUCUGCUGUAUAUACAGAUAACUGAUCAGAUAAUCUUUUGGAAAUAUUAAUUAUAAAUUCUGGGAUAUGUAUUUCAAUUCCCACAUGUUCCUGUUUGUUCUUGGAUCCAUCUGUAUAAAUUUUGAGAUAAUUAUAAUUGUUUCUUAAAUAAAUGCUUGUUUUAACUCCUUACUAACUGGGGU
ensembl:lncRNA